GAGAGAUGCUGGCGAGGAGCAGUUCCAGGCUGUGCUGCCUAAGAAGCUCAGCGCUCAAGUGCUGAGGGGUCAACCUGGAGUCAGAAUCACUGGCUCUCUGCCUGCUUGUGAGAAGUAAAGCAGAGCUUCUCUUUGUUGUAGAAUCCAACUUUGGCUUUGGGAAAUCUGAACCUCCAUCUUUGAGCUUGUUUUUGACUAGUUGAAAUAAGAAUCCUUCAAAGCCCGUGACUGGACCUCCUUUUGGCUGGAGCAGCUUUAGUUCCUGGGACUGUAAAUUCCAGAAGGAAUUGCUUUGCCCUCUUGUUAGGACAAGUGUCCUGCUGCUUGGAACAAGAGUUUGUUUUUCUUCUACGAGAUGCC
rnacentral:lncRNA from 1 species